rnacentral:rRNA from 1 species
AGGGUGUAAACGCUGCUGACUUGGUGUUGGAGGCCCUUUGGGGGCAUUCAGUGCCGGAGAGAAGUUGUUAAGUCUGCUACUUGGGGAGUACGUCCGCAAGGAUGAAACUUAAAGGAAUUGGCGGGGGAGCACCGCAACGGGAGGAGCGUGCGGUUUAAUUGGAUUCAACACCGUAAAACUCACCAGGGAAGACUGUUACAUGAAGGCCGAGAUGAAGACUCUGCUAGAUUUUCAGAGAGGAGGUGCAUGGCGUCAGUGACU